GUCCUGGCAGUAAACGGUGCACGUUUGGUGUGGGAGGAUUCGACCCCUUCCGCGCCGGAGCUAACGCGUUAAACGUGCCGCCUGGGGAGUACGGUCGCAAGAUUAAAACUCAAAGAAAUUGACGGGGCCCGCACAAGCGGUGGAGUAUGUGGCUUAAUUCGAUGCAACGCGAAGAACCUUACCUGGCCUUGACAUGCAUCUCUAAACCGGUGAAAGCCGGCGAGUGUCGAAAGACACAAUUUGCACAGGUGCUGCAUGGCUGUCGU
rnacentral:rRNA from 1 species